rnacentral:rRNA from 1 species
GAUGAACGCUGGCGGCGUGCUUAACACAUGCAAGUCGAGCGAUGAAGUUUUCUUCGGGAAACGGAUUAGCGGCGGACGGGUGAGUAACACGUGGGUAACCUGCCUCAUAGAGUGGAAUAGCCUUUCGAAAGGAAGAUUAAUACCGCAUAAUGUUGAAAGAUGGCAUCAUCACUCAACCAAAGGAGCAAUCUGCUAUGAGAUGGACCCGCGGCGCAUUAGCUAGUUGGUGGGGUAACGGCCUACCAAGGCGACGAUGCGUAGCCGACCUGAGAGGGUGAUCGGCCACAUAGGGACUGAGACACGGCCCAGACUCCUACGGGAGGCAGCAGUGGGGAAUAUUGCACAAUGGGGGAAACCCUGAUGCAGCAACGCCGCGUGAGUGAUGAAGGUUUUCGGAUCGUAAAGCUCUGUCUUUGGGGAAGAUAAUGACGGUACCCAAGGAGGAAGCCACGGCUAACUACGUGCCAGCAGCCGCCGUAA